UACGGAGGAUCCAAGCGUUAUCCGGAUUUAUUGGGUUUAAAGGGUGCGUAGGCGGCCUUGUAAGUCAGGGGUGAAAGACGGCAGCUUAACUGUCGCAGUGCCUUUGAUACUGCAGGGCUUGAAUGUACUUGAAGUGGGCGGAAUGUGACAAGUAGCGGUGAAAUGCAUAGAUAUGUCACAGAACACCGAUUGCGAAGGCAGCUCACUAAAGUAAGAUUGACGCUGAGGCACGAAAGCGUGGGGAUCAAACAGG
rnacentral:rRNA from 1 species